UCCAGUGAAGACAGUGGCCCGCGUGAGAUGCAGUAAGAUACAGUGAUCGUGAAUGCUUUUAAGUGGACUCUAGUCUUGUUUAUCCAAGUGUGAGAAAUGAGGUCAUGUGUGUUGGACUUCUGUGGUUUCACCUUGGAAGCCUGACUACUGUUCAAAGUCUACAACAGUCAGGUACAUAUCCAUUCCGGGUAUACACGUGUAACCUAGGCUAGGAUCUAAAGUCUUUACAUGGCCUGGGCUGGAAUCUGUCUCAGAUCCUAGAGAGCUGCUCUGGGUGAACACACCUGGAGGAAACACUGAGAUCCACAAGGGGAGAUAACUCAAAAAUAGAGUCCUUUGGUGGGUUGUUUUUGGAACUGUUCCUGUUGCUUUGGGGAUGACAUGGGGGAAGAUGUGGAGAAGACGGUGGUGGUGACAACGGAGGUUUGAGGGGUACGGGACCACACCCAGACUUAGAAUACAGCCCUCGUUUCUCCUGAUUCCGUUUGUCAUAGCCAGGAGAGCAUCCUGGGUAAUUUACCUAGUUAGAAGAAUCUCACCCAGGGGACUGGGCUUUUGAUUUUGCCAUUUCAAGGAAAGACGUGCAUCAUACCACGGGCACUACAGAUCCUUGAGACCUCCUUCAGCUCUCCUCUUCUUUCACAGCCUUGAAAAUUAUCUUUUAAUUGAUAGCCUCAGAAAUGUUAUUGAAAUCUUUACUACCCAUUCGCUAGGUGAAAUUAUCUAAAUGAAUUUCGCAUUCCAAAUCUAACCAUAUUUCUUAAAUUAUGAAUAUGGUUGAGAAAUUUAUUUUUAGGCAAUCUUUUUGUUUCACAUAAUUUGCUCAUAAUUGUUAGUUUAGAGUAUUCUUUAAAAUGAAUUAUCCCCAUUACUAAAUAAUUUGACUGUUUAAUCUUUCUAAAAAAAUUAAAAUACGUCAUUCUAAAUAACUCGUUAAGUUUUACCUUAUAUUUAUAGAAGCCUUCCCAAUUACUCAUAUAAAAAUCUUAUGCUGGCCGGGUGCAGUGGCAUUAAGUGCAUUCACAUGAUGGGAUACUCAUCACAACUAUCCUGAAACCUGAAACUAUUAUGAGAAAACAUAAGGCAAAAGUACCAUGACAUUAGUCUGGGCAAUAAUUUUUUAGAUUUAAUGUAAAAAUCCCAGGCAACAC
rnacentral:lncRNA from 1 species